AGUUUGAUCCUGGCUCAGGAUGAACGCUAGCUACAGGCUUAACACAUGCAAGUCGAGGGGCAGCGAUGAAGAAAGCUUGCUUUCUUCAGGCGGCGACCGGCGCACGGGUGAGUAACGCGUAUCGAACCUGCCUCAUACUCAGGAAUAGCCUUGCGAAAGUAAGAUUAAUGCCCGAUGUUAUUAGGAUAUCACAUGAUGUUUUAAUUAAAGAUUUAUCGGUAUGAGAUGGCGAUGCGUCCCAUUAGCUUGUUGGCGGGGUAACGGCCCACCAAGGCAUCGAUGGGUAGGGGUUCUGAGAGGAAGGUCCCCCACAUUGGAACUGAGACACGGUCCAAACUCCUACGGGAGGCAGCAGUGAGGAAUAUUGGUCAAUGGACGCAAGUCUGAACCAGCCAAGUAGCGUGCAGGAUGACGGCCCUCUGGGUUGUAAACUGCUUUUAGUUGGGAAUAAAGUGCACCACGUGUGGUGUUUUGUAUGUACCAUCAGAAAAAGGACCGGCUAAUUCCGUGCCAGCAGCCGCGGUAAUACGGAAGGUCCAGGCGUUAUCCGGAUUUAUUGGGUUUAAAGGGAGCGCAGGCGGACCUUUAAGUCAGCUGUGAAAUACGGCGGCUCAACCGUCGAACUGCAGUUGAUACUGGAGGUCUUGAGUGCACACAGGGAUACUGGAAUUCAUGGUGUAGCGGUGAAAUGCUCAGAUAUCAUGAAGAACUCCGAUCGCGAAGGCAGGUAUCCGGGGUGCAACUGACGCUGAGGCUCGAAAGUGCGGGUAUCAAACAGGAUUAGAUACCCUGGUAGUCCGCACAGUAAACGAUGAAUACUCGCGAUUUGCGAUACACAGUAAGUCGCCAAGCGAAAGCGUUAAGUAUUCCACCUGGGGAGUACGCCGGCAACGGUGAAACUCAAAGGAAUUGACGGAA
rnacentral:rRNA from 1 species